rnacentral:rRNA from 1 species
AUUGAACGCUGGCGGCAGGCCUAACACAUGCAAGUCGAGCGGAUGAAGGGAGCUUGCUCCUGGAUUCAGCGGCGGACGGGUGAGUAAUUCCUAGGAAUCUGCCUGGUAGUGGGGGAUAACGUCCGGAAACGGGCGCUAAUACCGCAUACGUCCUUAGGUAGAAAGUGGGGGAUCUUCGGACCUCACGCUAUCUGAUGAGCCUAGGUCGGAUUAGCUAGUUGGUUGGGUAAAGGCCUACCAAGGCGACGAUCCGUAACUGGUCUGAGAGGAUGAUCAGUCACACUGGAACUGAGACACGGUCCAGACUCCUACGGGAGGCAGCAGUGGGGAAUAUUGGACAAUGGGCGAAAGCCUGAUCCAGCCAUGCCGCGUGUGUGAAGAAGGUCUUCGGAUUGUAAAGCACUUUAAGUUGGGAGGAAGGGAAGUAAGUUAAUACCUUGCUGUUUUGACGUUACCAACAGAAUAAGCACCGGCUAACUUCGUG